UUGACUGCCCUGGAAUCUGAGCUCUUCCUCCAUAAAGCAGGGUCACAGUCAACAGCAGCGUAAACUUCUCUUCCCUGCCAAUGUGCCACAACCCUCACCUGGAGGGACCGCAUAUAAGGGUGACAUAAUAGCUCUGUUUCUAUUCAGUGUUUGGUUUCU
rnacentral:sRNA from 1 species